rnacentral:rRNA from 1 species
AGGAACGGAGCCGAAGCGAGAGCGAGUCUGAACAGGGCGAGAUAGUCGUAUGCAAUAGACCCGAAACCGAGUGACCUAUCCAUGUCCAGGCUGAAGUGGAGGUAAAACUCCAUGGAGGGCCGAACCCACGUUCGUUGAAAAGACCGGGGAUGAGGUGUGGAUAGCGGAGAAAUUCCAAUCGAACUCGGAUAUAGCUGGUUCUCUCCGAAAUAGCUUUAGGGCUAGCCUCAUGACAGAUUACCGGAGGUAAAGCACUGAAUGGGCUAGGGGUCGAAAGAUUACCGAACCCUAUCAAACUAAGAAUGCCGGAUAAUCGAUUCAUGGGAGUCAGACAGCGUGAGAUAAGUUUCGUUGUCAAAAGGGAAACAGCCCAGAUCUACAGCUAAGGUCCCUAAACAUUGUUAAGUGGAAAAGGAUGUGGAGUUGCAUAAACAACCAGGAUGUUGGCUUAGAAGCAGCCAUACAUUAAAAGAGUGCGUAAUAGCUCACUGGUCGAGUGACUCUGCGCCGAAAAUUCAACGGGGCUAAACAAUGUACCGAAGCUUAGGAUUCGCAGCAAUGCGAGUGGUAGGAGAGCGUCGAAUAAGGGGUGAAGUCUGAGCGGAAGCACAGGUGGACUUUAUUCGAGUGAGAAUGCCGGAAUGAGUAGCGAGAAUUAUGUGAGAAUCAUAAUGGCCGAAAAUCUAAGGUUUCCUGAGGAAGGUUCGUCCGCUCAGGGUAAGCCGGGAGCUAAGGUGAGGCCGAAAGGCGUAGCCGAUGCACAUACGGUUGAAAUUCCGUAGCCGCAGAAAGACUUAAGUACAGGGACACUUGGAAAGCUGUGAAGCCGGGCGAUGGUUGACCCGGUCGAAAGGGACCGAAAAACAGUAGGGAAGUCACGGUGGACUGAGGCAAGAAAAGCUGUAUGUAUGUUUUAUGCGCCCGUACCGCAAACCGACACAGGUAGAUAGGAAGAAGAUUCUAAGGCCAACGGGAGAAGGGUUGUUAAGGAACUCGGCAAGUUGACCCCGUAACUUCGGAAUAAGGGGUGCUUGUGAAAACAAGCCGCAGAGAAUAGGCCCAGGCGACUGUUUAGCAAAAACACAGGUCUCUGCUAAAUCGAAAGAUGACGUAUAGGGGCUGACACCUGCCCGGUGCCGGAAGGUUAAGAGGAGAUGUGAGAGCAUUGAAUUGAAGCCCCGGUAAACGGCGGCCGUAACUAUAACGGUCCUAAGGUAGCGAAAUUCCUUGUCAGGUAAGUUCUGACCCGCACGAAUGGUGUAACGAUCUGGGCACUGUCUCAACGACCCACCCGGCGAAAUUGUAGUACCGGUGAAGAUGCCGGUUACCCGCGACUAGACGGAAAGACCCCAUGGAGCUUUACUGUAGCCUAAUAUUGGAUUUCGGUAUUUCAUGUACAGGAUAGGUGGGAGACUGGGAAGCACGGCCGUCAGGUUGUGUGGAGUC